CUCCUAUGGCUUGCUCACCUGCCAACUGCCUCUAACGAUUCAGUGAUGGGAAAACGAAGAACUGGAUCAAUCGUAAGCUGAGGAGCUUAUAUCUGCAGCUAGGAAAGUGAGAAAAGAACACCUGGAUCCUGCUCUCCCUUCUACUGUCCACACACAGGUCAGCCACAAACAGCAGCUUCCUUCUUCCAGAGUCCCAUCAAUUCAUUUUACCUGGAAGACUGGAUGCCCGCGCGCCCUUGGCUUUCUUGGCCACUUCAAGUUUUCCAUUUCCAAUGCUUAGAAGAUUUGUUUGUGAGGGUCCAAAUGUGGCAGAAAGUAGUUACAGGCUUCUAUGCUGCACUGGCUCUGGAGGCCAAGGUUGUUGGCUGAACAACUGACCAACCUUUCCAGGAAGAGAUCUGAGGCAGAGAAUUUGAAAAAACACCUUCCAAUCUGUCAAGAACAUGGAAAAAGUGGCUGUCUCUUCUAUGUUGGCGGGGGCCCUAAAGCACAGCAUCACAGCAUCUGGUUAACCAACCACCGAAACCUCAAAACGCAGAGAUCGGACUCCACUGUUUUUCUUUAGGAACACAGAGCAGCAGUCAAGAGUAGGACCACAGGGCUCUAGGCAAAAUAAAGAGCUAUUGGGCUUGAGGGAUAGUCUUUGCACCAUGGAUUCACACCAUAUGGACUCAAACUUGAAUCAACUGUUCAAGGAGCCAAAAGAAAUCAUGAUACCAAGAGGUGGUAUGUGACAAUUUCUUCUCACUGCAAAAAUAACCUAGAGUGCUUAGCAGAAACCUGGGAGAAAGGAAGUUUUUCUGAAAUAAAAAGCAAAACCACUAUUUGAUAGUCCCUGCAUUACCUACCUGAGGGAGACAGAAAAUUUCCCUUUUAAAAAUCAUGUGGCUUAGUUUACUUCUCUUUGGUUAUAUAGCUCAGAGCAAGAACAUUUGUUCCCAUUUCAUGAAAUUAAGAAUUAAGAUUCCUAUUUCGCUGUUUACAAGGGCUUUUAUUUGCCUGCUGUGGUCUUUUCAUGGAUUUUCUCCAACCACCCCAUUUCCACUUCUGAAGCCACUCCCAAGAUUUCUAUCAGGUCCUGAAAUUAUACUUCCUCUCCUGUGGUUGUCCUGGCUCCCUGUAGCCCGACCCUCAAGCCCAUGCUGUCCAGGGGCAAUGCCCAACAGCUCUCAGCUGGAUUCACCAGUAUGCCAAGCACAGGCUCCCCCUGCAGUUCCACAUAAUGUCAACGUGGUAAUCACUAACAGUUGUCUUUACAGCCUUCUGUCCUUCCCACACGGGCCCCUUUUACCUGGUAGUCCUGGAGAGCCACGUUCCCUCUACGCAGCAGUGCACAGUUCACAAUGGACAAUGAAACAGACUUGAUACUAUUAUCUUGGAACCCACUGAAAGAAACUGGCAUUAGCAUUAACAGCUGGUUUCAAACUAACUGAAGUGAUUGAAAUUUUUAUGCCCAAACCAGCAAAAUAUGUAACAUGGAUGAAAAACUGAGGACAGCAACUACACAUGCUAGGAGAAAUAGCCUGCUGUCCAUCAAUGAAGAGAAAAGCCUCCAAGAAAAGCAGUUUCGCAAAUUAUGAAGGAACUGCCCUACUUUUUCAAAAAAUAAGUUAAAGGAGCCUAUUAAAAUAAUUAUCCAUUUUUAAGUAGCAGUAAAUUAUAGUAUUCACUUCAAAUUAUCAUGAAACAUAGUAUGACUUCAGGAUGGCCAGAUGACCUGGGCAGAGCCCACUCAGGAGGCCAUGUAGCCCAAUGGUUAAGGACAUGACCUCUGAAGCCCAACUUGGCCUUGGUUUGAAUCCUGGUUCACGUAUUUACUUUUGGUGUGACCAGUCUGUUUGGACUUGUUUCCUUGCCCACAUAAAAUGAGGAUGAUGGUAUUGUAUUUAAUUGACUCAAGAGCUCACAUUUUAAGAUCCCUGAAAUCUGUAGGGUCUUAAAGGCUAUUGGCCAACAGGUUGGUGGCCAGGCCAUUCAUGAUGUAGUUGUCAUUGCUUGUGCAUAUGUAGACUUGGUGGUUGUUUCCGGUGGCAUAAAUGGACAACUGCAACCCUUUGUUAUUUCAGUCCAUAAACCAUUGUCCUGAUUGUUGACAGAAACCCUUCUAGUAACACCUUGUGAUCAAAAAAACGUCAGCAUCAGAACUUGCAGAAUGAGUAUCAGUAACUUUGAAGAAAAUGACAGACAGUGGUAGACCACCUCAUUAAGAAGUGAGGCAUCAGGGCUGGCCCGGUGGCACAGCAGUUAAGUUCGCACGUUCCGCUUCAGCAGCCCGGGGUUUGCAGGUUUGGAUCCUGGGUGUGAACCUACACACCACUUGUCAGGCUAUGCUGUGGUAGGUGUCCCAUAUAAAAUAGAGGAAGAUGGGCACAGAUGUUAGCUCAGGGCCAGUCUUCCUCAGCAAAAAGAGGAGGAUUGGCAGCAGAUGUUAGCUCAGGGCUAAUCUUCCUCAGAAAAAGAAAAAAAGAACUGAGGCAUCACAAGGUCUGAGUCACAAAUGUCAGACUGAACGCGAAGUUUUAGAAAUGGCUUACCCAGUUAAUUUCACUCAUUUUUCUUUUUAUAUCAGAAUAGAACAAUAUAAAAAUUUGUCUCAAUACCAUAUUACAUCAAUUCUAAGAUAUUUUUUCACACUUUAACAUCUCAAGUCAGGAUGUGUCAUACAAUUAAGCUACGUUUUCAUGCUUAGUGGUAUACAAAAUGGUGUGCCUUACAAUUGAUGCAAUCUUAGAUUUGUUGAAAUAAAAU
rnacentral:lncRNA from 1 species